CGCCAAAUCGUCAAUCCCGGAGGAGCACCUAGACACUCAAAUCCACACACAAUUACGGUCACAGCCGUAACACCCCCUUACCCAAGAAUUAACAUUAACCCCAAAAUGUUUAAUUCAAGGAAACACCCCCAAAAAAAACAAACAUUUAAAACAUACAACCCCAACGAAAAAUGUUUGUUCCAUGUCCAGCCCAUACGGCACCGGCCACCGUCCCGCAGGCGACGCUGAUGACUGGACGGGUCCUCCAGUGGAAACGGAAAACCGGAGCGGGCCCUCGGAUCCUCCAGCGAAGACAAACGAAGCUGAUGAAGGCUGGAGCGGUCCCACGGACCCUCCAGCGAAGACGGAUGAAGUCUGGAGCGGUCCCACGGACCCUCCAGCGAAGGCAGACGAAGGCUGGAGCGGUGCCUCGGACCCUCCAGCGAAGACAAACGAAGCUGAUGAAGGCUGGAGCGGUCCCUCGGAUCCUCCAGCGAAGGUGGAUGAAGGCUGGAGCGGUCCCACGGACCCUCCAGCAGACGACGAAGGCUGAGGCGGUCCCUCGGACCCCCCAGCGAAGGCAAACGAAGACUGAAGCGGUCCCACGGACCCUCCAGCGGAGGCAGAUGAAACUGAUGGAGGCUGGAGCGGUCCCCCUGACCCUCCAGCAGACGACGAAGGCUGGAGUGGUCCCACGGACCCUCCAGCGAAGGCGGACGAAGGCUGGAGCGGUCCCACGGACCCUCCAGCGAAGACAGACGGAGGCUGAAGCGGUCCUCGGACCCCACAGUGAUUGGACGAGCCCCCAUAUGUUACACCCCGGCCUAGGCAACCGGGGUGCAACGUAGAAAAACAAAGAUAAGGAAAAUAAAAAUAAGGAAAAUAAAAAUAAGGUAAAAAAAACACACGAGAAAAAACUAAUACGGGUUUCCACAAAAAUCAUCCCAAAACGACCACUAUUUUCUUUAAAGCAAAAUGAUAUUUAUUUACAACGCAAGGCGCCAAACUAUUUACAACGGGGGGGGAAAAAGAUCGCGACCAUGACAACUGACACACAGGGCUUAAAUACAUGGAGGGAACAAUCAGGGAAUGGACAACAGGAGGGAAACACAGCUGGGGCAAAUCAGAACUGACGAGACAGGGAAAAUGUAAACUGAAC
ensembl:lncRNA